UACUUCCUUUACAGACCACUGGAAGCGCUAGGGGGUCAAAGAAAGCUGGAAAUGACCAAUGAGAGCUGUCCAAUGGCGGUUGUUGAUCUGUCGUCUUGCUCUGUAGUCUGUACUGAAGUCAACAGUCGUCUUUGUUUUAUGUUUACAUAUUACUGAUCUUCAUGACAACAGUUUCUUAUUUUAAAUUUCAUAAUGUUCACCGUGAAAGAGAGGAGAUUUCCUGCUGAAAAAAUGUCCACAAUUAAUCCUAAGAAUAUUCCAACACAACAAACUGACAUUGAAAUACUCUUGUAAAUUCCCUGGUUAUUCAUCUGGAUAUUACGUGGUUUCAACGGAGGAACUUAUCAACAAGCAUUUCUACAGGUUUCCAAAACAACCGCAAUAGUUGCUUCUGAAGUGGAAAACUGUUUGUAAACAGUCACCUGAUGUGAACUGUGCUACUUAUUUUAUUUGUGAAGAUCAUUUUUUCGAAGAAGAUUUUAUGAAUAAAAUUAGGCAGUUUAAACAGGGUUGUGUUUCCAAAACAUGUGGUAGGUGUUCCUUGUGACACACUUGUAUCAGAAGUGAAUCAGAUAAAACUGUUGUUAAUAGUGAAUUAGGCCUACCAAGCACUGGUGGCAUUAUGGUAAGUAUUCAUUAUACAGCUGCUAAUACCCGAAGUGAAACUGGUGGUAAUGAACUACAAAGCUUUAGUUGUCCUGUGGCAAGUAGUUCUCAUGCAGCUGUUAGUACUAGAAGUGGAUCAGGUGACACAGGAGUUAAUAGUGAAUUAGGCCUACCAAGCACUAGUGGUGCCGUGGAAUAUUUUAUUAUAUAGGUGCCAACACCAGAAGUGAAACUGGUGUUAGUGAAUUAACUAGCACUAGUUGUGCUGAGCAGAGUAAUUCAUUGAGUGAUGCCCCUCUUAAAUUAUUUCUCGCCUCAAAAUGUAUCUGCAGAUGGUGAGUACACAUUCUUAUCUGACACAAUUUGUAAUGAGGAAAGUGGGAUUUUAGGUGCACGAGUUUCAUAUUUUUUUAUUUAGCCUAUUUAUUUUCGAGUUCCGUGGAUCCUUGACAUGAAUGUAUCGCAAGGAUGUAGAACGUGUCAGGUUAUUACAGUAAUAGCCACAUGUAGAUGAUUAUGAGGCAACCAAUUUAACAUAGAUAAGCAGAUACAUGAAAAAGGAUAUCCACAUGUCAAAUCAUUACACACAAAAAUUCAGAUAACAACACAGAUAAUAGUACAGAAAUGACAGAUGAUUGCAUAAAUAAUAGUACAGGAAUGACAUAGAUGAUUACAUGAACAAAUUUAAAGUAAUUCAUGUAAAAAAUAUUCUGCCAACAAGUGAUAUGCUAAUCUAUAUAAUCAGUUCUAUUAGAAAUGCAUGAAAUUAAACACAAAUUCAAGAAGUAUUACACAUUAUCAAAGAAUUCCUGUAAUAGAAAGAAUUAUCCAAAAGAUAAAGUUUUAGCUCUGUUUUGAAGUUAAUAAGAUCCCCAAUGACUGAUUUGAUAUGGAUAGGAAGUUUAUUGAACACUUUUAUACUUUUAUAAUGAGCUCCUUUCUGUGCCAUGCUGAGAUUUUUUAAAUCAUUGUGAAGAUUGUUUUCUUCUUGUAUUGUGAUCAUGGUAGGCACUAUUCAUUUUGUAAAUUGCACAAUUUUUGUUCACGAAGCACAUUAGUGACAAGAUGUAUUGACAAGGCGUGGUGAGGAUCCCCAGCUGUCUGAAUAAACUUCUGCAAGAUGAUCUAGGAUGCACUCUACUCACAAUCCUGAUAACACUCUUAUGUGCAACAAAGAAUUUAUUUGCUUGUGGUUGAGUUUCCCAGAUUAUGAUCCCAUAUGUCAUAAGUGAAUGGAAAUAACCAGCACAUGCAGUUUUGAUUGUUUCCAUGUCACAAACAGAUGCAAUUGAGCGAAUGGCAAAUGCUGCUGAAUUCAGUCUUUUACAUAGGUCAGUGCUGUGGACAGACCAAUUUAGUUUGUUAUCAACAUGUAAAUGCAGAAAUUUGGAAGAUACAACUUUCACUAUUU